rnacentral:rRNA from 1 species
UACGUAGGAUGCUAGCGUUGUCCGGAUUUACUGGGCGUAAAGCGCGCGCAGGCGGCUCUGUAAGUCAGGUGUGAAAUCUCCCUGCUCAACGGGGAGGGUGCACUUUAGACUGCAGAGCUAGAGGACGGUAGAGGGGGGUGGAAUUGCUGGUGUAGCGGUGAAAUGCGUAGAGAUCAGCAGGAACACCGGUGGCGAAGGCGGCCCCCUGGGCCGAACCUGACGCUGAGGCGCGAAGGCGAGGGGAGCGAACGGG